rnacentral:rRNA from 1 species
AGUGAACGCUGGCGGUGGGCCUAACACAUGCAAGUCGAGCGGCAGCACAGUAAGAGCUUGCUCUUACGGGUGGCGGGUGGCGGACGGGUGAGGAAUACAUCGGAAUCUACUUUUUCGUGGGGGAUAACGUAGGGAAACUUACGCUAAUACCGCAUACGACCUACGGGUGAAAGCAGGGGAUCUUCGGACCUUGCGCGAUUGAAUGAGCCGAUGUCGGAUUAGCUAGUUGGCGGGGUAAAGGCCCACCAAGGCGACGAUCCGUAGCUGGUCUGAGAGGAUGAUCAGCCACACUGGAACUGAGACACGGUCCAGACUCCUACGGGAGGCAGCAGUGGGGAAUAUUGGACAAUGGGCGCAAGCCUGAUCCAGCCAUACCGCGUGGGUGAAGAAGGCCUUCGGGUUGUAAAGCCCUUUUGUUGGGAAAGAAAAGCAGCAGGUUAAUACCCCGCUGUUCUGACGGUACCCAAAGAAUAAGCACCGGCUAACUUCGUG